GUUAGGCCUGCGAGGAGGUGGUCAUCCAGGGUAAGUGGCACCAAAGGUGCCCGCCAUCUCCUGCCGCCAAUCGGCGGUCUUGCAGGUCGGGAGGU
rnacentral:ncRNA from 1 species